GAUUCCCUAAGUAGCGGCGAGCGAACAGGGAUAAGCCCAGCACUUAAGCCAACAGUUGGUUUACAAUUGUUUGGCGAUGUAGUGUUUAGGAGUACCCAAUUAACCCAAAUAUGUAUAGCGUGUCUAAGUCCUUCUUGAAGGGGGCCACAAUCCCAUAGAGGGUGACAGGCCCGUAAUGACCGUUAAAACAUUUUUGGGUGGGUUUUCUCCUUAGAGUCGAGUUGCUUGAGAGUGCAGCUCUAAGUAGGUGGUAAACUCCAUCUAAGGCUAAAUAUAACCACGAGACCGAUAGCAAACAAGUACCGUGAGGGAAAGUUGAAAAGAACUUUGAAGAGAGAGUUCAAUAGUACGUGAAACCGUUCAGAGGCAAACCUGGUGAACCUGAGUUACCUAGUGGGAGAUUCAUAUACUUUUACCAUUAAUAACGAUAUAUAACAGUGUAAUGUGGUUUAUUAAAAGAUAUUCAUUUUUUUAUGGAUUAUCUUAUUAAUUUACAUCUGUUUUAUAUAUCUAUAAUGUUGUUUUUGGAGGUAUGCAUUUCUCUCACAAUAGUGUAUAUCGCAACUCGUUAAUUAUUAAUAUGUCGUCAUAAGGCCUAUGGUGGAAGAUCAUAGUUUUAAACUUAAUUUAUAAAUUUUAUAUUUAUAAUACAAGUAUGAAAAUUAUGAACCUAUAGUGUCCUGACCGACAAAUUAACGGUAUUAUAAUAUGCUGAUGAUGGAACGCAAUAUAAAACACAUAAUUUAUAUAUUUUAUAUAUAUUUAUGUGAAUGCAUUUAAAAUAUUACAUGUGUAUAAGUAUAUAAUAAUUUGAAUUUUACAGAUAUUAUAUGCUGAUCAAUAUAUACUUUACACAAUUUAAAAUGUAAUAUUAUUCUUAAAUAGUUCCAUAAGCAUCAGUUGGCGAUAUAAAUGGAUUUGGGUAUGACCAGGACCCGUCUUGAAACACGGACCAAGGAGUCUAGCAUGUGCGCAAGUCAUUGGAUUAUAAUGUUUUAAUAGAUAUUAUUAUAAAAAAUCCAAAGGCGUAAUGAAAGUAAAUUAUAUAUAUUAUUAUACAUUAAUAUAUUUUAAUAUAUUAAUGAAAAUUAUUUAAUGGAAUGAAUAUAUAAAAGGGAAGAUAAGUUAAUUUGUAUAUAUAUUUUAUAUAUAUAUGCAAUGUUAUAAAGUAACUUCGCAUUCCCGAGGCGUCUCAAUAUUUAGUAUUCAUUGGAAUACGGGGCGCACUAAGAGCGUCAUGCUGCC
rnacentral:rRNA from 1 species